rnacentral:rRNA from 1 species
CCUACGGGGGGCAGCAGUAGGGAAUAUUGCUCAAUGGGGGAAACCCUGAAGCAGCAACGCCGCGUGGAGGAUGAAGGUUUUCGGAUUGUAAACUCCUUUUGUUAGAGAAGAUAAUGACGGUAUCUAACGAAUAAGCACCGGCUAACUCCGUGCCAGCAGCCGCGGUAAUACGGAGGGUGCAAGCGUUACUCGGAAUCACUGGGCGUAAAGAGCGCGUAGGCGGGAUAGCAAGUCAGAUGUGAAAUCCUAUGGCUUAACCAUAGAACUGCAUUUGAAACUGUUAUUCUAGAGUAUGGUAGAGGUAGGUGGAAUGCUUGGUGUAGGGGUAAAAUGCGUAGAGAUCAAGAGGAAUACUCAUUGCGAAGGCGACCUGCUAGAACAUAACUGACGCUGAUGCACGAAAGUGUGGGUAUCGAACAGGAUUAGAUACCCCAGUAGUC